rnacentral:misc_RNA from 1 species
AUCAACUGAGAUGAAGUUACAUGCAAAGGGGUUGUACACAUGCCAGAUCUGCAUGGGAUCCUGAAGAGAGGGAUCUGAAGUAUGAUAAGGAAGAAAUAGAUGCGAGAUGCGACUGAAGAGAGAUUUCUGAUCCAACUCUUCGAUGCUGUUGAUGUGGACGGUGGCGUAGAGGUUGCCAUUGCUGACAAAUUGAGAGGGAAAACAAACGGUCAGACGGUG